CGGAGGGUGCGAGCGUUGUUCGGAAUUAUUGGGCGUAAAGCGCACGUAGGCGGUCUGGUAAGUCUCACUGUGAAAGCCCGGGGCUCAACCCCGGGACGCCAGGGGAUACUGCCGGACUGGAGACAGGCAGAGGCUGGUGGAAUUCCGGGUGUAGCGGUGGAAUGCGUAGAGAUCCGGAGGAACACCGGAGGCGAAGGCGGCCAGCUGGGCCUGAUCUGACGCUGAGGUGCGAAAGCGUGGGGAGCGAACAGGAUUAGAUACCCUGGUAGUCCACGCCGUAAACGAUGGGCACUAGAUGCCGGAGGGAACGACCCCGUCGGUGUCGAAGCUAACGCAUUAAGUGCCCCGCCUGGGGAGUACGGCCGCAAGGCUG
rnacentral:rRNA from 1 species